ensembl:lncRNA
CUCUACAGUGAAUCAGUCACUCUUUAGGAGUGUUGUGGUGUACCUCAGUCUCUCUACAGUGAAUCAGUCACUCUUUAGGAGCAUUGUGAAUCAGCUCACCUCAUUUGUAUGAAUCCAUCUGCCUCUUCCCGAAAAGGCGAGAGACGGAGAGAGAGAGACAGAGAGAGAGACAGAAAAAGACAGAGGGAGAGAGAGACAGAGAGAUACAGAGAGAGAGGCAGAGAGAGAGAGAGAGAGAGAGACAGAGAGAUACAGAGAGAGAGGCAGAGAGAGAGAGAGAUAGAGAGAGGGAGGGAGAGAGAGACAGAGAGUGAGAGACAGAUUGAGAGACAGAGAGACAGACAGAGAGAGACAGACAGACA